rnacentral:rRNA from 1 species
GCGGGGGAUAACUAUUGGAAACGAUAGCUAAUACCGCAUAACAAUGGAUGACACAUGUCAUUUAUUUGAAAGGGGCAAUUGCUCCACUACAAGAUGGACCUGCGUUGUAUUAGCUAGUAGGUGAGGUAAUGGCUCACCUAGGCGACGAUACAUAGCCGACCUGAGAGGGUGAUCGGCCACACUGGGACUGAGACACGGCCCAGACUCCUACGGGAGGCAGCAGUAGGGAAUCUUCGGCAAUGGGGGCAACCCUGACCGAGCAACGCCGCGUGAGUGAAGAAGGUUUUCGGAUCGUAAAGCUCUGUUGUAAGUCAAGAACGGGUGUGAGAGUGGAAAGUUCACACUGUGACGGUAGCUUACCAGAAAGGGACGGCUAACUACGUGCCAGCAGCCGCGGUAAUACGUAGGUCCCGAGCG